CUUAAAACGGGAAUGGACCUUGAUAAGAAUUUUGGUAGGUUAUAGAUUCCAUAGCUGAAAGUUGGAGGGAGAGAUGCAGAGAGAUAUGGAGGUGCUGAGUACUCUGGGGGACUUCACGAGCAAGGAGAACUGGGACAAGUUCUUCACUCUUCGUGGCAUUAACGACCCAUUCGAGUGGUACGCCGAAUGGUCCAUUCUCCAAACCCCUCUCCUCAAUCAACUCCAAUCAAACUCCGCCAAACAAGAAGAGCCCAUUCAAAUUCUGGUUCCUGGAUGUGGAAACUCCCGCCUUUCCGAGCAACUAUAUGAUUCAGGUUUCCACUCCAUCACCAACAUUGAUUUCUCAAAAGUUGUGGUCUCCGACAUGCUUCGCAACCACAUCCGCUCCCGCCCCAACAUGCGAUGGCGCGUCAUGGACAUGACCCAAAUGCAGUUUGCGGAUGGGUCCUUCGACGUGGUUCUUGAUAAAGGUGGAUUGGAUGCUCUGAUGGAGCCACAACUUGGCCCAAAACUAGGGAGCCAGUACCUUUCAGAGGUAAAGAGAGUCUUGAAAGUAGGUGGAAAAUAUAUCUGUCUCACCCUGGCAGAGUCUCAUGUUAUAGAGUUGCUUUUAUCGAAGUUCAGGUUUGGAUGGCACAUCAGUCUUGAGGCCAUAUUGAACAAACCAUCUAACAAAUCCAACUUCCAAACAUUUCUUGUGGUUGUUGCAAGAGAGAAUUCGAGCAUAGUUUCUCCCAUUGUUCCAUCUUUUGACAGUGAUUCUCUUGAUUGCGACGGAAAUCAGAUUCAUGGUUUAUUGAAAACAAUUAAUAGUGAGAACAAAAUUCGUGCCGAAUUCUCCUCAGAUAUUGAUGUAUUAUAUUCUCUAGAAGAUUUGCAACUAGGAGCUAAAGGGGAUUUAAAUCGACUUAUCCCUGGCCGUAGAUUUUCUCUUACUUUGGGGGAUUUUGCGACAUCUCAUUUCAGCUACAAAGCCAUACUAAUGGACUCCAAGCAACCCUCUGAGGCUGAGCCAUUCCUAUAUCAAUGUGGGGUUUUCAUUGUUCCCAAGACACGAGCUCAUGAGUGGCUCUUCUGUUCAGAAGAAGGACAAUGGAUGGUUGUUGAAAGUGCAAAAGUGGCUCGUCUAAUCAUGGUAUUCUUAGGCUCUGAGCACAACAAUGUUGGCAUGGACACUAUCCAGAAGGACCUCUCUCCACUAGUAAAAACGUUGGCACCUGAGCAUCCUGAUAAUGGAGAUCAAAUCCCGUUCAUGAUGGCUAAUGAUGGUGUGAAGCAGCGAAAUAUUGUUCAGCAGGUUACAUCUCCUACAACUGGACUAAUAAUUGUUGAAGAUGUGAUAUAUGAAGAGAGUCCUAAUGGUACUAAUUCCAUUCCAUUAAAAGCUUUGGUCUUCCGCCGUCUCACUUUUGAGAGAAGCUUGGGUUUGGUGCAAUCUGAAUGCUUGCUUAAGGAAAUGGAGCCUUGCCAGAAAGAUGUUGCCAAGAUUGCGAAAAAGAAAAAGAAGUCACGUCAUAAAUCAGACGAAAAUAUACGUAAAAAAAGAGCUGACUCAAGCUUUUCAAAAGAAUCCAGAAACAAUCUGAAAGUUGAUCAUUCCUAUUUGGCUAGUUCGUAUCACAGUGGAAUCAUUGCUGGGUUUGCAUUGAUAUCUUCUGCACUAGAAAAUAUGGCUUUGGCCAGGACAAUGGUUAAUACCUUUAUAAUUGGUCUUGGAGCUGGUCUCCUUCCCAUGUUUUUGCAUAAACAUUUUCCAUUGAUGGAUAUUGAGGUGGUAGAGUUGGACCCAAUUGUUCUAGAUCUGGCGCGAAAUCACUUUGACUUCAUAGAGGAUAUACAUUUGAAGGUACAAAUUGCUGAUGGAAUAAAGUUUGUCAGAGAGAUGACAACUGCUUCCACUUUGUCAAAUAGGGAUGACACAUCUGGAAAUGAUAUUUACUGUGAAGCGAACUUACCUUCACUUCAAGGAAGUAAAGGACCUCACAUACUUAUCAUUGAUGCCGAUUCAGCUGAUUUAAGCACCGGGUUGACAUGUCCUCCUGCAGAUUUUACUGAGAAGUCUUUUCUUCUCUCUGUGAAAGAAGCACUUUCUUCUGAGGGCCUCUUCAUCAUUAACUUGGUUUCAAGAUCCUCUUCCAUUCAUGAGAUGGUUGUUUCAAGAUUGAAAACUGUUUUCAGUCACAUUUUCUUUUUGGAGAUUGAGGAAGAUGUGAAUAAGGUUUUAUUUGUGCUCCCCAAAGAGCCAUGUAUUGAGGGUGAUCACUUGAUGGAAGCAGCUGGUCGACUUGAGAAGCUCUUGAAAACCAGCCCAUCUGAGAAAGGCCCAAAUAUCAGAGACACGGCAAGGAGGAUCAAGCGCCUAUAAGUGGGGCACUGAUAUCUGGCCCUCUCUUUGAGCUAGCCAAUCCUCCUGGAGCUGUGGAAAGUAAAUCGUGAAAAAUGACAGCACUAAAUUUGAAAUCUCCCCGUGAUACUGCAUAAUCUCCUAAGAGCCUAACAUUCCCAUCUUAGCCUCCUUAAUGCGUUAGUGCAUUAAGAGAGCCGGCCUCAUCUUUAAGGACUUGAAAAGCUAUGUUUGCCUGAAGAGGAAACUGGCAAAGGGGGACAAGAAAAGAUCAAGUUUGGAAAGCAACAGAAACGUUGCAGAAACCAACCAAAUCACGAGGAAGAGACACUAGGCGUCAUAGCCUUGAGGCACUUGGUGGCUACCCUGCCGUCAAGCUUCAAGCUUAGUUUGAGAUACGACCCAAUCUGUCCUCAUCAUGCAGGGAAUGUCAACCAUUUUACAGUCCCAUAUUGGUUGAUGUCUAGUGAUGAAUUUUGAUGACACAAGAUUGAUUUACAGAUUGAUCUCUAUUGAAUAUUGACUGGUAUUUCCCAAAUUCUCUCUUGUUUGGUACAAACUAUUAGACCAUGUGUAAUUAUUUGCCCAUCAUAUUGUGAGUGUUUGCUUAUACAUGACCAAA